ACUAGUAAAUAAAACAAGUUCAGUCAGCGGAUAUUCUGGAGUUUAUAACAUGGGGGCAAUAAUAUUCUAUAAGGUAUAAUGUCGCAACAAGAGAGAGAGAGAGAGGAACCUGUGUCUCUAUGAUAGUUGCCAUUAAACAUUCAAUUUCUCUGUCUUCCUGAUCUGCUAAUAACUUGGCAUGAGCAGCAGCUCCCCCAAAAGCCGUUGCAAUUGCCACUCUAAUUCGCAAUGCCAGAGGUAUGGAGUUCUCUGGAG